UACGAAGGGGGCUAGCGUUGCUCGGAAUCACUGGGCGUAAAGCGCACGUAGGCGGACUCUUAAGUCGGUGGUGAAAUCCUGGAGCUCAACUCCAGAACUGCCUUCGAUACUGAGAGUCUCGAGUCCGGGAGAGGUGAGUGGAACUGCGAGUGUAGAGGUGAAAUUCGUAGAUAUUCGCAAGAACACCAGUGGCGAAGGCGGCUCACUGGCCCGGGUACUGACGCUGAGGUGCGAAAGCGUGGGGAGCAAACAGG
rnacentral:rRNA from 1 species